UCAGCCGGCCGGGCGGCCGCUCCGGACGCGCGAGCGUCCGGGGAGGAAAGUCCGGGCUCCAUGGAGAGACGGUGCCGGAUAACAUCCGGCGGGGGCGACCCCAGGGACAGUGCCACAGAAAGCAGACCGCCCCGGAUCCGUCCGGGGUCAGGGUGAAAGGGUGCGGUAAGAGCGCACCGCGGACGCGGCAACGCGGACGGCACGGCAA
rnacentral:RNase_P_RNA from 1 species